rnacentral:lncRNA from 1 species
GUCCUGCUCCUGCUCUUGGGUGUAUAGCCAGCAUGGUGAUGGUGGUGAAUGGGGAUUUUGAAAAUGGCUAAUCAGUCAUGGGCACCUGGUCUUUAUUCCUUGAUUUCUAAUGAUCAUUAAUAAACCUCAUAAAAUAUAUCUUUAUUAUUAAGAUUUAAUUUUAAAUUUUACAACCCUACCUAGUACUAGGUGAGAAGCCAUCAAGAUACUUGGAGAGCUCUACUCUUUUUUCUAAUUCAAAUAGUCAGAAAUUUUUGAAUUCUUUUAAUAGUUCACACCCUCAGAAACUGUGAACCUUUUGGAUGAGUAUUCACUCCUCCAGAAGGUGCGAAUUGGUUCCCACAAACACUGCCCCCUGGGCAUUAGUAGACAAUCUGGAAGCUGUGAUUGAUUGGCUUCUGUGAAGAGGGGAGGAGACAGGAAGCCACUAUAUGAAUUUUUGGGGUUAAGGAAGUUGUCUUCAAUAAGGAAGUCAGCUUAAGGAAGAAGUUCAGCUCAGGGGAAAUAGUUGGUCUCAGAAGUCACCUUCGGCUCCAGUCCUUGUCUUGACUCUGCCUCUUGGAGGAAACGUGGGUUAGAUCUCCUGGCUUAGUAACCAGUCCUACCUGGCAACACCAUCAUGUUGGAGGACCAGGGGACAACCCAAGGUUUACUCCAUCAUCACAAAGUGGCAAGUGUUUUGAAGCCUUCAUGCAGCCAGAGUGUGGGGAAAGUGCUCCCCUCCCACUUUCCUCAAAGGAAAUCAAUGGAGGGAGAACAACUUGAUGCAAAGAAGUGAAGAAAGAGGAAGAGAGAAGACCAGGUAAAACCAGAAGAUAUAAAGAUAUGGCAGCUAAAUGGAAAGACCCCUCACUUCUCCUUAGAAACAUCAAGGGGUCAAUGGAAAUGUCAUUAGCAUGACCCCCAAAUGAACAAGAAAUAUUUUAAUAGUUGAUUGGUUCUUCUGCAUUGUGUGUUCCUAUGAUGAAGAUAAAAGAUCAUAAUGAAGAUAAUUAGAGAUAUUUAUUGAAACAGAAAAAUUCAAAGAAAAUUUAAGAUUUUCACUAGCCAAAAUAUAAUUUCCUGAGCACUUAAGAAUUAGUGCUGGACUGUUGGUGGAGUUGUGAAUGAUCCAACCAUUCUGGAGGACAAUUUGGAACUGUAAAAGUUAAAAUUAAAUCUCAAUAAUAAGAAUAUUAUAUUUAGGAGAUUUAUUAGGGAUCAUUAGAAAUAAAGGAAUAAAAU